rnacentral:pre_miRNA from 10 species
GCUAAGCACUUACAACUGUUUGCAGAGGAAACUGAGACUUUGUAACUAUGUCUCAGUCUCAUCUGCAAAGAAGUAAGUGCUUUGC